UGGGGAAUAUUGCACAAUGGAGGGAACUCUGAUGCAGCGACGCCGCGUGAACGAAGAAGGCUUUCGAGUCGUAAAGUUCUUUUAUAUGGGAAGAUAAUGACGGUACCUCAAGAAAAAGCCCCGGCUAACUACGUGCCAGCAGCCGCGGUAAUACGUAGGGGGCUAGCGUUGUCCGGAAUCACUGGGCGUAAAGGGUUCGCAGGCGGAAUAACAAGUCAGAUGUGAAAGGCAUGGGCUCAACCCAUGUAAGCAUUUGAAACUGUAAUUCUUGAGAAGUGGAGAGGUAAGUGGAAUUCCUAGUGUAGCGGUGAAAUGCGUAGAUAUUAGGAGGAAUACCUGUGGCGAAGGCGACUUACUGGACACAAAUCUGACGCUGAGGAACGAAAGCGUGGGUAGCAAACAGG
rnacentral:rRNA from 1 species